rnacentral:lncRNA from 1 species
GUCAACAAAAACAUAAAAAGUUGUUAAAAAAAAAAACACAAAAUGAACAAAACCCAUAUUGUUGUUAUUGUUUUGAUGAUUGGAUCUGGAUCUGGAUUUGUUUUGAUGUUAGUGUUUGUUAAAUGAUUUCAUCAAAUUGUGGACAUGUUUAUUUGUAAAAGUCUAAUGAUUUCAUCAAGUUGGUUUUGAUUUUGUUGAUGAUUUGAUGAGUUUUUUGUGGUUGCCAUUGUUGAUGAUGUUUUGGGGUUUGGAAAGUGAAAGGAAGAGAGUGAAGGGUUGUUGAAGAUGAGGAGGUUA